AUAAUUAACAAAGGUAUCAAACCAACAAAGGUAUCCUAAUUAACAAAGCUAUCCUAAUUAAAAAAGCUAUCCUAAUUAACAAAGGUAUCCUAAUUAACAAAGCUAUCCUAAUUAACAAAGCUAUCCUAAUUAACAAAGGUAUCAUAAUUAACAAAGGUAUCAAACCAACAAAGCUAUCCUAAUUAACAAAGCUAUCCUAAUUAACAAAGCUAUCCUAAUUAUCAAAGGUAUCCUAAUUAACAAAGGUAUCCUAAUUAACAAAGCUAUCCUAAUUAACAAAGGUAUCCUAAUUAACAAAGGUAUCCUAAUUAACAAAGCUAUCCUAAUUAACAAAGGUAUCCUAAUUAACAAAGCUAUCCUAAUUAACAAAGCUAUCCUAAUUAUCAAAGGUAUCCUAAUUAACAAAGGUUUCAUAAUUAACAAAGGUUUCCUAAUUAACAAAGGUAUCCUAAUUAACAAAUGUAUCAUAAUUAACAAAGGUAUCAUAAUUAAC